rnacentral:rRNA from 1 species
GACGAACGCUGGCGGCGUGCUUAACACAUGCAAGUCGAGCGAUGAAAGCCUUAUGAACUAUUCGUAGUGAUUGAGGCCGGAUUAGCGGCGGACGGGGGAGUAACGCGUGAGCAACCUGCCUUAAACAACGGGAUAGCCUCGGGAAACCGGGAUUAAUGCCGAAUGAGACCCCGCCCUCACAUGAAGACUGGGUUAAAGAUUUAUCGGUGUAAGAUGGGCUCGCGUCUGAUUAGCUAGUUGGUGAGAUAAAAGCCCACCAAGGCAACGAUCAGUAACCGGCUUGAGAGAGUGAACGGUCACAUUGGAACUGAGACACGGUCCAAACUCCUUCGGGAGGCAGCAGUGGGGAAUAUUGCACAAUGGGGGAAACCCUGAUGCAGCGACGCCGCGUGAGCGAUGAAGGAAUUCGUUUCGUAAAGCUCUGUCCAAGGGGAAGAUAAUGACAGUACCCUUGGAGGAAGCCCCGGCUAAAUACGUGCCAGCCGCCGCGGUAACAC